rnacentral:rRNA from 1 species
AUGAGGAGCUCAGUGCACGUGCCAGCCGCGGUAGAGGCGCUGCUAUGCCACCCGGUGGCGGCCCUAUCCGAGAGGCCGGCGCUGCGGCUGACGCGGCUGCUGGUGAACGUGACGAUGGAGCGGAGCUUGUGGCCGGUGCAUGUGCUGCUGGGCGCCGACACCACCGUGGUCGACCUGGCGCGUGCCACCGUCGACGCCUAUGCCGACGAGGGGCGCAGGCGGCCGCUCCCGGCCGAUGAGGGCGCCACCGACGAGGCCGCGCGGUUCGAGCUGCACCUCUCCACCCCACCGGACUCACGGGCUAUGCCUACGGCCCAGGGCCGUCGGCAUAGGUCCAUUGCCGUCGGCAUAGAUCUAUGCCUACGGCUGCCGUCGGCAUAG